GACGAACGCUGGCGGCGUGCUUAACACAUGCAAGUCGAACGGUGAAGCACCUUCCUUUUGGUGGGUGUGGAUGAGUGGCGAACGGGUGAGUAACACGUGAGUAACCUGCCCCCUUCUUCUGGAUAACCGCAUGAAAGUGUGGCUAAUACGGGAUAUUCUGGGUCUGUCGCAUGGCGGGCCUGGGAAAGAUAUUGUUUCGGUGGGGGAUGGGCUCGCGGUCUAUCAGCUUGUUGGUGGGGUGAUGGCCUACCAAGGCGGUGACGGGUAGCCGGCCUGAGAGGGUGGACGGUCACACUGGGACUGAGACACGGCCCAGACUCCUACGGGAGGCAGCAGUGGGGAAUAUUGCACAAUGGGCGCAAGCCUGAUGCAGCGACGCCGCGUGAGGGAUGGAGGCCUUCGGGUUGUAAACCUCUUUCGCCAGUGAAGCAGGCCUGUCCCUUUUGUGGGUGGGUGGACGGUAGCUGGAUAAGAAGCGCCGGCUAACUACGU
rnacentral:rRNA from 1 species